UAACUUCGUCCCAGCAGCCGCGGUAAUACGUAGGGGGCAAGCGUUAAUCGGAAUUACUGGGCGUAAAGCGCGCGCAGGCGGUUNUUUAAGUCAGAGGUGAAAUCCCCGGGCUCAACCUGGGAACUGCCUUUGAUACUGCGUAUCUAGAUUAUAUGAGAGGGUGGAGGAAUUCCGUGUGUAGCGGUGAAAUUCGUAGAUAUUCGGAGGAACCACCC
rnacentral:rRNA from 1 species